rnacentral:rRNA from 1 species
UCAGGCCUAACACAUGCAAGUCGAGCGGAAACGAGUUAUCUGAACCUUCGGGGAACGAUAACGGCGUCGAGCGGCGGACGGGUGAGUAAUGCCUAGGAAAUUGCCCUGAUGUGGGGGAUAACCAUUGGAAACGAUGGCUAAUACCGCAUAAUACCUACGGGUCAAAGAGGGGGACCUUCGGGCCUCUCGCGUCAGGAUAUGCCUAGGUGGGAUUAGCUAGUUGGUGAGGUAAUGGCUCACCAAGGCGACGAUCCCUAGCUGGUCUGAGAGGAUGAUCAGCCACACUGGAACUGAGACACGGUCCAGACUCCUACGGGAGGCAGCAGUGGGGAAUAUUGCACAAUGGGCGCAAGCCUGAUGCAGCCAUGCCGCGUGUGUGAAGAAGGCCUUCGGGUUGUAAAGCACUUUCAGUCGUGAGGAAGGUGGUAGUGUUAAUAGCACUAUCAUUUGACGUUAGCGACAGAAGAAGCACCGGCUAACUCCGUGCCAGCAGCCGCGGUAAUACGGAGGGUGCGAGCGUUAAUCGGAAUUACUGGGCGUAAAGCGCAUGCAGGUGGUUUGUUAAGUCAGAUGUGAAAGCCCGGGGCUCAACCUCGGAAUAGCAUUUGAAACUGGCAGACUAGAGUACUGUAGAGGGGGGUAGAAUUUCAGGUGUAGCGGUGAAAUGCGUAGAGAUCUGAAGGAAUACCGGUGGUGAAGG